UACGUAGGGGGCAAGCGUUAUCCGGAAUUACUGGGUGUAAAGGGAGCGCAGACGGCAGUGCAAGUCUGAUGUGAAAUCCCGGGGCUCAACCCCGGAACUGCAUUGGAAACUGUACAGCUGGAGUAUCGGAGAGGUAAGCGGAAUUCCUAGUGUAGCGGUGAAAUGCGUAGAUAUUAGGAGGAACACCGGUGGCGAAGGCGGCUUACUGGACGAAGACUGACGUUGAGGCUCGAAAGCGUGGGGAGCAAACAGGAUUAGAUACCCUGGUAGUCCCU
rnacentral:rRNA from 1 species